ensembl:lncRNA
GCCAUACAAACAGCUCAUUGGUCCAAAGCCGCCCUGAUGCGAUGAAAACUAAUUACAUGCUAGGUUGUCAAAGUAAAAUGUCUCGCAUAUAUUAAACUGACAGUUUCCAGUGGUCUCUCGGGGUUUUUUGUGGUGUUUUUUUUUCCACCUGUGUGUUGAUGCACACCUCCCCUUAACAAUCACAUGGGAGAUUUGACCGCGCACCAUUCAAUCUCAAUCAUCUUUCACUGGCUCUGCAUACCACAGACACCUUCGCUGAAAAACAUGAUAUCACUUUAACUAAAAGUGUUCCUUGAGAAUUUGUCUAUUUUAAGGAAGUGUCUGCACAAGUGCAGCAGAAAACCUCACGCUGUCGUUUGGCAGAUGUUAAACGACGAUGUGUAAACAGUGGCACUUUGCCUUCUCGCGUGAGAUCUGAAACAAGCUGUUUGUUUAAUUUUCACCUGAUCGUGCUUCACGGGCUUCUUAGAGAUGAAGAGGAGAGACAAGCUGAAAAUCCCCUCCCUCACUUUGGAUUUGUCACCCAGCCAGAGCCCCAUCAUCCUGAGUCCAUGCAGUCCAGGCAGCCCCUGCAGUCCUUUACAAUCCCUUCAUCCCUGGAGGUAAGACAGCCGAUUCGCACGCCAAAACACAGCAUAAACCUGCUCCGGCCCUGCAGAGAGACAGAACUGUCUCCAGUUAGUCAGCAUGACAAACACAUCUCAUUGAUUGUUUUUUCAUUUAAUGGGACCCACACUCAUGUGUGCAUGUAAAGCUCAUGUCAUGUAUGAUUCAUUUGGAUAAAAGCACCAGAGAUGUGCUUGACUGAUUUUGGUGCUGUUUAUCUCCUUUUUAAAAUCCCUUUUGAAACUGUGGUGGCGCACAGGUGGAUGUCAGGUUAGGAGAAAGACUCAAGAGGCUGAACUAUGGAGGGAAUAACAUAUGCAAAAGCCUGCAAAAGUGUUUGGUCUAAAAAGGCUUUUUGCUUUUUUUGCUUUUAUUGUGGAGAUUAUAACUGUUUAGUGCAAACUGAACGUAGAUCUGAGAGAAUUCAAAUCCUUAUAAGAGCAGCUGGGAAAUACUUGGAUGUGGAGGGCUGAUCAGCAACUAAAUGAAAUUCUCAAGCACCAUGUGGUGGGUUGUAAUAAUGUUGAUAGUCCUUCAGUGGAAGUAUUAUUGCGAAAUUUAUUGAUGAUUUGGAUCAAAAACCUCAAAUAAUAUGUGUGCAAGAGCCAUGGCUAGUGGUUGACUGAUAUGUGUUUUUUGACAGCCGAUGCCGAUAUCCUGGAAAGCAGGGGGCCUAUAGCCGAUAUGAUUUUUUAUUUAUUAUUAUUAUUAAUAUUUCAGAAAUUUGGAAUCAUUUGACAAUGGAUUAAAAAAUAAAUGUGUUAAAGAAACAUUCUUAUAAUUUAGAUGACAUUUAAUACAAAUAUAAUUAAAAACCAAUAGGGCACUCAGUAUUCUAGGAAUAAUAUUUUUCAAAUAAAGCCAGUGUAACCCUCAUUUUACAUACAGCACAGUGAAAAUGACAUGAAUAUGACAGUGGACGUAUGCAUAAAGCGCAGCACGAGUUUAAAGUUUAGAGCAUUCAGUUAGAACAGACUGACUGUCACACAGAGAAACACGAUCUUGCUGGAUUUAAAUGCACACUUCAAGAUCUUACAGCUGGAUUCGACUAAGUUUGCAAAGAUUGUGAAAUUAAAUGUUCAUUAAUCAUUCAAAAGAUUUGUUUAAAUCAUUUAAAUGCAUAUUUGCUUAAAGCUGACAACAAACAAGAAAGUAUUAUAAUGUUUGCCUUUCUAUUACUAAUAGGCCUAAUAUAAAAGCAGCCCUUAUAAUACUUUCUGUAUACAUUAAUUCCAUUAAUACAUUAAUAUUGGCCAUUGCCGAUAUUUGAAAAAUUCCAAUAUCGGCCGAUGUAUCGGUUGACCACUAGUCAUGGCUCAA